rnacentral:tRNA from 1 species
UAAUUCCAUUUAUGGAGUGAUGGGCUCCUCUUAUCA